rnacentral:misc_RNA from 1 species
GAUGAAGAACGUAGCGAAAUGCGAUAAGUAAUGUGAAUUGCAGAAUUCAGUGAAUCAUCGAAUCUUUGAACGCACCUUGCGCCCUUUGGCUAUUCCGAAGGGCAUGCCUGUUUGAGUAUCAUGAACACCUCAACUCUCAUGGCUUGCCAUGAUGAGCUUGGACUAUGGGGGUCUUGCUGGCCUGUGGUCGGCUCCUCUCAAAUGAAUCAGCUUGCCGGUGUUUGGUGGCGUCACAGGUGUGAUAACUAUCUACGCUUGUGGUGUUUUCCACCAGGUAACCUUCAGCAAUGGAGGUUCGCUGGGGCUCAUAAAAGUCUCACCUCGGUGAGGACAGCUCUUUUUGAACGUUUGAUCUCAAAUCAGGUAGGACUACCCGCUGAACUUAAGCAUAUCAAUAAGCGGAGGA